UUUUACAUUAAAAACUGAAAUAGCUAGGUGUUAUGGUUCUAUUCGCUAGGAACUCCACGUCACUUCAUGUUCUAGGCACUCAGAAAAAUUUCUCCGUGUAGUGCUUCGCUGCAGCUUGUUGCUGCACCGUUCUAGGUACCAAGUGUGGUAGCUAUGCGCAAACCAACAGGAUCCUCUUCAGAUCCUUUUGGUUAGGAUUUUGAGGAUUCGUGAAUCGUGUUCGUUCAUCGUACAUCAUGCGGAUAUUAAGAUAAAUGGGAUCAUUGGGCGUGACACUAAGAGAUAGGGGCUAUAUUAUGUGGAUGACAUGGUUGCUAGAAGAGCUAAUUUCGUUCCUGCGUCGCGUAAUAGUAAUCUACAGAAGUUAUUGUUGUUGCAUCGUCAUUUGGGCAUGCGUCGUUUGGUUAUUUGAAAUAUAUGAUACCUGAUUUGUUCAGUGGUAUUGAAGACUUAGAAUUAAAGUACGAGGUAUCUAUUUUAGCUAAAAGUCAUCGUGCUUCAUUCCCUUCAAGUAUGAAUCAAAGGCCUUUUCCGUUUGCGUUCA